rnacentral:rRNA from 1 species
CCUACGGGAGGCAGCAGUGGGGAAUAUUGCACAAUGGGGGAAACCCUGAUGCAGCGACGCCGCGUGAGUGAAGAAGUAUUUCGGUACGUAAAGCUCUAUCAGCAGGGAAGAAAAUGACGGUACCUGACUAAGAAGCCCCGGCUAUCUACGUGCCAGCAGCCGCGGUAAUACGUAGGGGGCAAGCGUUAUCCGGAUUUACUGGGUGUAAAGGGAGCGUAGACGGCAGCGCAAGUCUGGAGUGAAAUCCCAUGGCUUAACCAUGGAACUGCUUUGGAAACUGUGCAGCUAGAGUGCAGGAGAGGUAAGCGGAAUUCCUAGUGUAGCGGUGAAAUGCGUAGAUAUUAGGAGGAACCCCAGUGGCGAAGGCGGCUUACUGGACUGUAACUGACGUUGAGGCUCGAAAGCGUGGGGAGCAAACAGGAUUAGAUACCCUAGUAGUC